GACGUCACCAUGACUCCACGUGGCUGCAAAGCCCCCAGUGUGAAGGCCCCUCCCAGCCAGCUCAGUACUGACGCAAAUGAAAAGCUUCCAGCUCUCCGAGCAGCUGCCACCCGCUCUGGCGGUGGCCCUGUGGCCACAGCGGGGAGGGCAGGCAGCCUCCAGCUCCAGCGUGGGACCUGGCAUUUUAGAUAAUCAGAUGCUCUUUAAAGGGUGGCUAGUGUGGUGCGCGGGGCUCCUUGGAGGUCAAGGAGAGCCAGCUACUGUCGCAGCUCCUGGUGAGGUUGGCUGCCCUCGGAGCCUCAGGCUCUGCCUGCCAAGCCACCUCGCCCCGUCUCCCCACCCAGCAGGUGCCUGGGGUCCUUCGGCUUCGGUUGUGGCUCUUCGCCCAGAGUGGCAUUAGAAGCAGGGGAGGAGCCUGGACUGCAGCUGCCCGGAACCGCCACUGCGCAGCCUCCCUCAGCCUCCGCAGGGCUGGCGGAGUCUCACCUUUCAGCAGAUCCUCACUAGAGCAGCUCACAGACACGUGACACACAUCGGGGACUCCUGGGAAGAAUGUGGGGUGCCAGACGUGGUGACCAUGAGACCGGGGUGCUUGUCCAGACGUCUCUGGGUGAAGGCCAUCACGGGAAUGGGACUGCCCUGAAAAGGCAGGCCUGACCCUGCAGAUGGAGAAUGGAGUCCCCAGAACUCUGGAAACUUAUGACUGACAAACAGGAGGAGCAAGACAAGGGCCUCUGGCAGCCUGAGACUGGGCGUUCUCCAGGCACACCUCUCUGGCUGCACCUUGCAGGUACUGCAUUUUUCACAGGAAGAUGUGCAGCAGCCCUGCCUGGAGCUCGUCUCUAGGAGCCAUUUUUCCAACAGCAUUUGCUUACUUGGCUUCUCUGCCACAUUUUGAUAAUUGCAAAAUUUUAAAUGUAUGCAUUGUGUUUGUCAUGGUGAUCUGUGAUCAGUGGUUACAACUCACUGGAAGUUCAGAUGACGAUAGCAUUUUUUACCAAUAAAGUGGCUUUUAAUGAAAACAUGCAUGCUGUUUUUCUAGACAUGAUGCUAUUUGCACAUUCAACACACUGCAG